UAGUGAAGCCAUUAAAAUUUACAAAAUGUACAUAGUCCAAUUAAUACUGAAAUAACCAAAUUGAUAUUACAGUUAAAGUUUGUUAGUUUCAUGUACUGGGAUAAAGGCAUGAAGAGAAACAGACACACAAUUUUUUUACUUUCUUUAUUAACAACACUAUGAUUUCCACAUCACCAUAAGAGGUACCAGACUUGAUGCAUUACUCAUUUUUUACAUGGUGAGUUUCCCUAGUGUUCCUAUAAACCAUGGUGUGGAUCAAAUUAAUUCAUACAGCAUGUGUCAGUAGAACCAACUCUCACAGUCAACACUUCACGGCCAGGUUCUGAUUAUCACUAAUGCCAAAAUCUCUCAUGAUUUAGAGGUCCUGCCAAGUAAAAGUAAUAAGGUGCAUCCUUUCAACUUCUUCAGUACGAUGGAGUCUCUCGUAUCAUCCAUAAUCCUCAGUAAAGUUACACCUUCCACAAUUUUACUUGUAACCUUUCAGUAGUUAACCCAACCAUGAACAUAUCACAAAACAAAUUCUACUAUGUGUGAUGUUCUACUGUUUAUACAAUUCUGCCAAUCUGAAUUCUGGAUGAAAGCAAAUGUGCUGAACUGAGCAAUUAAUAGACUGCAUAAUUGCUGCAGCUUACUGCAGCUCAGCAAGUACUACAAAAGCAGACUCACUUUAAUAUAAGUGGGCAACAAAGAAAUUGUGUCUUUAUCGUUAAAAGAGACACAGACAUAAAAUAAUAUGUUUAGGUGUGUAUAAUGUACCACUUGAAAUUGGAGGACAUACAUUGGCAAAAUACUGGCUACUGAGGUAUGCUGAGAACAUAAACUGGAGUAAUAUACUUAGUCUCCUGUAGGAGUGCACGGUUGAGAGAAAUAUGACAUCAGGUGGGGGCAAGACAGUUACUAUAGACAAUUACAAAAUAAAACUUCUUUUGUGGUAAGUGUGCCACCAGUCAUAUCAAUAGUGACAAUUUCUGUUUAUUAAAUAAGUGUAUUAGGUUUCAGGUUCUUUCCAGCCCAGUUCUAUUUUGGCUACCCACCAUUUGGAGGAAAUAGGACUUUACAAACAUUUUUCUAGUCAUUCUUUAGGCAGUUCUUAAGAGGCAGGGCACACUGUACCAAAAUGCUCACAGCUCUCUUUGCUAAUUAUGUUUUGGUUAAAUUUAAAAUCUUAUAAGAAAACGUAGUUAAUGUUAUAACUCUUGAACAUUCAAAGAUAUUAGUGUGCACAGAAACAUGUUUAUAACAGUAAAUAUUUGAACAGUACUAAAUUUUGGAUACGGUGAGUCUAGUUUUUGGCUAACAAUAAUACACAUUAUACUAAAUAUCAUAGAUUAGGGCAUUUGCAAUUUCAGUGUGGGAUUGAAGCAAAUUCUUCAGAGAAUAGAUUAUUAAUACAAAGCAAAACAGUUAUACAUGCAUUAAAUAAACUUUACAUUUAAAACUGUGUCAGAAAAUGGCCACAAAGGAUGGGCAGUAAAUUCAUUACUGUUCUUAGCCAAUUCAUUUGACUAAUGAAACUACCUGAUAAAUGUGUGCAUCACAAACUAAUUUUUAUGUGAAGGUACAACUGGAAUGCAAUUGUUUCUUUGCCAUUUGCAACUACAUGCUUAUCGUGCACAAGUAAUUUCAAAGUAGCCAAAAAGCUGCAGUGCUAGGGGCACUUGACUUUAUGCUCAACCUCAAGUGUGUGUACAAAUUCACAGUAUAAAUACAUUCACACACACAUUGCACUUUCAAUCCACCAGUACAGCUUUAAAUAACUGCUACAGAAGCUCUUUGGCUGAGAAGUCAGUCGUUGGUUGAUAAAUGAGUUGCACUGAUGAGAUGAAAUCCACGAAAGAAUUUUAUGCUCAGGUUAGAACAACUCUUAUCACUGCAGAGGUUAUCUCAAGCUGUUAUAUGAUGACGUGUACUGCACGAGUCCAGCUUGUCAACUGCGAAGACUACAGUGAGGUGACUACUGAUGUGGUGUCAUGCUCACUGGCAUUCUACACACAUGCCAUAGACCCAAGGAAGCUGCAGCAGGUUGUGUUCAAAGGCUUCCCACAUGGGUGGACCCUGACCAUGUCAAAGAAGAAUUGGAAGAACUUGUUUGGUGUUUGCUCAGUGGCAUGCAUGAAGUCUCCCAGGAGCCAGAAAGAGUCACUGUCUUUCCUCCUCAGUGCCUGGGACAACUUGGAGAGUCAAAAACUCUUCUAACUGAUAUGUGUGGACAACAUAGCAGUCACCAUCAAGCUGCUGAAGUAAUUGAGGGUCUUGCCUGUAUGCUUCUGCUGCCAAAGAUUGGGGUAUGUAGCAUGGAACUUGUCUUCCCUUGAGGGAUUCUUGAAGUGGAUGCAUCUUCACCUCUUGUACAUACAUCAGAAUUCCAGAAAAUGUAUCUCCUGUUGAAACAAGCAGAAUCACUCCUGAUAGAGAAAUUGGAAGUGAGAGAGGAACUUCUGGUCGUGAGUUCCUGUACCCUAAUGUAAGACAUUGAAAGAAAAUUAGUCAGUGAAAGAGAGAUGGUCCAACAGUAUGUAUAUGAUCUCCUGAAUUUACAGAAAGAAGACAAGAGUAUGAAUGAUUUCUGUCUCUGGAGCAUGCCACUGAAUGAAAAAUAUUCAGAUAUUGCUAGUGCCAAGUUUCCAGGUUCUUUUUUAGGUGUUAAAGUUGAAACUGCUUCAGGGGAUAAAAGCCCAUCAUCCGCAAAGAGUGAAUUUGGAGAGUAUGGUUUUUGGGAUGAUACAUUUGAUAAUGUCGGUAUGUGGUCUGAGGAGGAUAUAAAUGUACCUUACAACAGGCAAGCUAGACAUCAGAGACUCAGAAUGUUGCUUUCUUGGUGGAAAUUAGGGUAGCAUUGCUUUCCAAACUUUUGUAGGCUAGCACGCAAGAUAUUAGUUAUUCCUGGCACUAGUGCCCUGGUAGAAUUUCAGUCAUUCAGGACUUGUUGUUUUGGAGAAAAGGAGUACAAUAAGUGCUCAAAAUGUGAAUGCCAUUGUUCUUAUACACAAUUAUUUGCUAAGAUUCUCAUUCAGUUGUAGACUUUAAAAUAUUGUAAUAUUCUUUCAUCUAAGUACAGAUUGAAUUAACAUUUAUUUUUUUUCAUUUUUUCAGGCUGUGUCUGAGGCAGAAACAAGAAACAUAGACUUCCUGCUUCUUACUGCUUGAGACUAUAUUAGAUGAGAUUUUGUGGUAGCUACAUUUAAAAUGGAUGUAUUUUUUAAAAUUCUGUUUCAUUAAAUCUCUUGCAUGGGGUUCUAAAAGUACAAGUGACUGUUUAUGCUUCAGAAAAAUAGCUAUCCCAGCUUAAGAUUAUCCUGUACACUUGGUGGGUAGAUUACAUGGAACUUUCAGACUCAAAAAUUGAGGUGAGAUUGGCACUACAGAUUUACAUCAUGGAAUGAGCGUUGUGGCCUUGCCUGGCCAUAGUUCAUGAGCUACAGAGCCAGAGGAUGGGCUGGCCAGGCUAAAUGGCGAGGGUGGUGUCAGUACAGCCUAGAAGAGUCUGAAGCAGGCUGGUUGGCCAGCAAGUGGCCAGAAAGCUGUGGCUGUGGUGGGCUAGCAGUCUGUAGUGCAUGGCUUUGUCUGGGGUCUGGUCGUGCUGUAAAAAUAUAGCCAUCCUCAUAGCCAAAAGAUGGUCUUCCAGUAACACUGGAAACUCAUUGUUAAGAAAGUAUAGACAAUGGAAGUCCUUUAAGGUGAUGUUAUACAACAGGCACAAUUGGCUGAUUGUCUACCAUACAAAAACACAUGUUUACAGAGAAGCAUUCUUGAAAAUAUAUCUUCACAGAGACAUGUGGGUUUUAUUUGGGCAGCCAAUGUGAGCUAAGAGUCUUAUUGAUACCAUCUUGAGUGAAAGUGGCUUCGCCAGGAAACAGUAUUAAUGGGGUAAUAAUCUUGUUUACAUGCAGAUCCACAGCCUCCAAAUAUCUUGCAAAAGAAAACAUUGUCUGAUGUAGGCUGUAUAUCUUUAGCAUUUAUUUGUGUUAUUGGUCAAUUUUGACUACUGUGUUAUUAUCAAACACCUUUAAAAAUAACAUACCAACAUAAAAGAGUAAUACAUAAUGAAUGCAGUCUAGAGAACUCAAAAACAGGAUAUGACAGACUCUUAAAUUUGGCAUAAGUUAUUGUCUGUUGCUUACGGAGGUCAAAAUAAAUGUUGCAUAUUGCUUUUUUGUCAAUACUGGACAUAAUAGAAAAUAAUUUUUUUGUCAGGUACAGUUACAUCAAACCAAAAAUAGACAAGAUAAACACAUUUCCACUUGAUAAACACAAACAAGCAAAAACCAAAGCUUAGAGAAGAUUCUGAUUGAGACUUGGCCCCCCUCAUAAAAGGAAACACUUUUGAAUGCUGUUAGAUAGUUCCUACCAUAUUGUCCAGAUAAGCCUGUGGGAUGAUGUCCCAUUCCUCCACAGCAGCCUCUAUGAUGCCCUGUAAGGUCUGGUGGGACAGCUGCCCCAUCCAUUCUCAAUGCAGUUGACAUCUGGCGAAUAUAGAGGCCAAUCCAUUUGUAUACUUCACUAGGUAGGUGUUCACAAGAAUGAAGUUGCAGUGUGUGCGAGCAUGUCCUCCUGAUACUUUAUGUGAUCUCACCCCAAAACAUGACUAGACAGCAGUGAUAAGGGUGGUGGUUACAGUACAGUUAGCGUGUAAAUAUUUUUGUUGUUGCCUCCAUACAUGAAGAUCAUUAUUGUCUUGGUCAGAAAAACAACAUUGUGUUUCACUGCUGCCUAGUUGAGUCAGUGGUUUUGUGCCUGUGUGUGGUGUGAGCCCCUCUAUGAACUCGAUUUAGAGGAGCCGUUGAGAGAGGUCUUCUGGCAUGUAAUCCCUGCUCAUGGAGCCAAUUUUGUAUUGUUUGUGUUGAUACCUGCACUCCUGUAGCUGUUUAGAACUGCUGCUCUAGACAUGUAGCAUUGCAUUGAGGGUUUCUGUGUGGUGUUAUAUGCAAAAAUCGAUUGUGCACACCUGUUGUUUUUUUCUUCCACAGCCACUUCUGUGAUGAUUCCCAAAUGAUCCUGUCGCUAGAACUUGUUUGAGAUUCUAGAGAUACCACUUUGACUCACAGUGGCAUUCGCUGUGGUGUCCACCUGUCUCACUCCCUGCUCCAAGAGUGUGGCGGUAAGGUACCUCUAAUUGUACUUUUUUGUUGUCCAAACCGUCUUGAAGUGACAGAGCUCUCAUAAUGAUACACAGCACAACUACUGCAAUGCUUAUAGGGGACACAACCACCAUAGAUGGCACAUACUGCCCCUCACACUAGAAACAUGAACUGUUUCAGCUAGGAACAAAUGAAUGUGUUGAUAUUGUAAUGUACUUCCGGAUCACAACACUCAGUAUUAAAGUUUCACCAAUAUGCAACAUUUAUUUUUACAUCAUAUAUAUAAAUUGUAAAGCAGGACAAAGGAGAAAUACGCUCCACAAAGGAUAAACUAAGAGAAAUAUUAAUUUUCUGAACAUGCAGAAUUAACUGAAAGAGACAACAUUAAAUUGUAGAAAUCUAUGCCUUUGUCACAUUGGUUUAUUAAAAUUAAUUUCUAAAAUUUAAACAAUGGAAACACCACACAACAAUAUCAACUAUGUAGGAAGAGAGAGAUUGCUAAAGUGAAGAAGACAUUAAGUUGCAGACAGGCACAACUAAAAGACACUUACACGAAGCUUUCAGCUACAGCCUUCAUUAGCAGAAGAGAAACAGAAACACACACCAUUCAUAUGCACAAGCAAGUACACGUCAUGUACACAUGACUGCCAACUCUGGCAGCUCAGGCCAGAAUGUCUCUCUUUUGCUGAUGAAAGUUGUGGCUGAAAGCUUUGUGCAAGUGCAUUUUAGUUGUGCCUGUCUGCAGCUUAAUGUGUCUUCUUUAGGAUAGAUGGCAGUCUAUCUUUCCCUACAUUGUUAUUAUUUCUAUAAUGUAAUGUGUUAUGAAGGUCAGCAGUCUCCUCUGAAUGUUUAAGUGCCACUUGCAUAGCCUUAAUCCACAGAAACACUUUAAUUUUAUACUGUAUAAGUUAUGAAGUUGUCAGAGUUAUGAAAGUUUGUUGCUGUUAUACUUAUUAAAUGAAAUGUAGGACACAGGUCCUUUCCAAAUGUUUGGGUGUUCCAGUUCUUUUGAAACAGUGUGUUUCUGAAUUGCAGUUUCUUGGGAAUUAGGCUAAAGCUACAUGCUUAACACUAAUGUAAACAAACUAUUGUUAUUUUAAAAAUGUUAUAUGUUUUAUUUUUAUAACUAUUAAAACCUGUGACAUAUGUGGCUUGUUUUGUGUAAACUGUUUUCAGCCUGUUGCUGCUCUGCAGCAUGCUCUUGUUUGUCUGCAACAUCCUAAGCUUACAGGUGCAGAAUGUGACUUACGAGGGUUGGUCAAAAAGUAAUGCCUCCCAUUUUUCUUCUACUUAAAAAAAUUAAGUUAAGUGAAAAAUUUGAAUUUGGCGCCAUUCCUCAAACCUUCUUCUGCAAUCCACUGCAGUAGUAACUUUCUGUGUCAACAGGUGGCAGCACAGCAGAAGUUUGUAAGAUGGCCAACAUCGAUGUUCGUUUGAGACAGCGUUGUGUGAUUGAAUUCUUGAAUGCAGAAGGUGAAACGCCCAUACGCAUUCAUGAAAGACUGAAGAAGGUGUAUGGUGUUGUGACAGUGGAUGUCAGCACUGUUAGACGAUGGGUUCGUCGUUGUAAGGAAG